rnacentral:rRNA from 1 species
UACGGAGGGGGCUAGCGUUGGUCGGAAUCACUGGGCGUAAAGCGCACGUAGGCGGCUUCUUAAGUCAGGGGUGAAAUCCUGGGGCUCAACCCCAGAACUGCCCUUGAUACUGAGGAGCUUGAGUCCGGGAGAGGUGAGUGGAACUCCGAGUGUAGAGGCGAGAUUCGUAGAUAUUCGGAAGAACACCAGUGGCGAAGGCGGCUCACUGGGCCGGCACUGACGCUGAGGUGCGAAAGCGUGGGGAUCAAACAGG